GCCCGUUUGGCUUAGGGGUAAAGCGUCUCACUCGUAUGCUUAUUUCGUUAUGAGAAGAUCGGAGGUUCGAAUCCUCCAACGGGCA
rnacentral:tRNA from 1 species